rnacentral:misc_RNA from 1 species
AAGUCGUAACAAGGUUUCCGUAGGUGAACCUGCGGAAGGAUCAUUAACACGUAUCCAAACGUUAAAACCCCCCCCGUGAACCUUCAUCCUGCUCUUGUAACCCGCGUAGUUCGCAAUCUCUGAUAAAUCAUAGCCCGGAAAGUUGUAGUGAUUCAGAGACCUCUGGCUACGUGCGAACAUUGGAACAGUUACAAUCGUCCAAGCAAGUCAGUGUCGGAAAGUGUCAUUGAUUGUGCAAGGAUAGCGUUUCUACGGUUCCUGUAGACCGUACACUCGGGCAGGAGCUUUGCCAAAGUGUCCCCAUAACCCCACAGUUUAAUGUGAAGCUCAAUGUAAUACAUUGAGUAAAAAAACCGAACAACUGUUAACAAUGGAUAUCUUGGUUCUC